AUUCUAAUACUUCCUGAUGAAAAAGAAUGAGCGCUAAAACCACAUAUGUUAUUCCUUUCUUCACAAGCUUCUCAUUCAUUCAAGCGUUAUUUUUCCUCUCUCACUUCUAUCAAAUCGGGGUUUCCUUUUCUUCCCUCUUCAUCACCGUAAUAUCAUUAUCAUUGGAGUUUCUUUUCUUCCUCCUUCGUCAUCCUAUGUAAACCCUAAAGGAAUUCACACCAGUUCUUCAAGGAUUACUGAUUGAUUCUAAUGGAAUGGCGGAUCUUUCAAAUGCCGUUUUUCUAUGAGCAACAGAGUCCCAAUCAUGGUGAAUGCAAAGAUGCUGAAGAUAGCCUCAGUCAGUUAUGAGCAUGAAUUCUCGGACCCUUUGUGAUCCUGAAGAUCCAUCCAAUUCCUGUGAUAAAUGGAUGUUGGGUAUAUAUAGAGAUGCAAAAUUUAAAGAGAGAAAGGGUUCGACAAAUCAGGUUAGAAAGAUACCAAUGAGUUUCCGACGGACCACCAGCGGCCUAUCCGAUGAAAUGGCAGGGCAUCGGAUUUAGUCUCUUUCUUUAUCGCUUUCGCCGGAACAAAUCAUGACUAUUCCAGCGAUGGUCCUGUAGUGUGGAUCGGAGCUGCUGUAUGAUGGCAAUGUGGCUAAGUCCUAGCAGUGGCAGCGUUUUCAAACAGAAUGUUAUGCCAUCAGAGGUGUGUACCUGGCCGCUGUUCUCGAAUAGGUUGCCGCUGAGGAACUGAGUAGCAUCGCAGGUUCAUCUCCAAUGAUUAGUCGAUUUAUGAUGAGCAAUAUGUAGAAAACUUUGAUGCAGGGACAAUUGUCAGAGGAAGACCGACGGAAGACUGAGGCACAGACGUUGGUUGUCAGCGAUAAUGAAGGUAACUACAACCGCAACGGAUGGUGAACGACGAGCCCAACUCUACAAUAGCAGAUGUGGCACACGUUGGGUCAGGUGGAUAGAACGAACAGCGGAACGAGACCCGAUUUGGGUUGAAGCCUUCCGAAUCGUGUGACGCAGCGACAUAGGAAUUCUAUGGUUUUGUGACGACAGAAGCAAAAGGUGCAUGCAGAUACUUUGGGUUGUCCACCGUUUUUAUUUAGGAUCAAAAGUCACUUAGUUUAUCCGGAAAUAAGAGUGAUAUUCGGGGAAACCCAUGAAACAUCUUAUUUGUGGGUGAAAUGCAUAUCCAAACUACAAGGCAUGGGGCGGGAUCGCUGAAAAAAAAAACAGUUUAUAAUCUGUGUUGGGUCUGGGUGUGGUUAUUAUGUUUAGAACAGUGAGUGGUUAUUUUUUGUAAUGCUGGGAUCACACUAACUUGCUGGGCCUGUGUAUAAUUUUUGGUGUUGAAACAAAACUUGCCUUUGAAAAAAACAUGUGCAGUGAUAUGAUGA